GAGUCAUUAGCUCAGUUGGUAGAGCAUCUGACUUUUAAUCAGAGGGUCGAAGGUUCGAGUCCUUCAUGGCUCA
rnacentral:tRNA from 2 species